UCACCUAGUUUGUGUAUAUUACGUAGGUGGAAGCACGGGUUUUUUUGCAGAUAAAAUCAAGGUUCUGAAAGAACCAGGUUAAGACAACUCUGAGUUGAUCACGAAGGCGGUGACACAGAAAUUGAGUUCAGCGGCUACGAACUUCAUAUGAAAGGCAACGUAACAAAAACAAAAUUCCGAAUUUUCCU